CAGCCGCCGCGGGAACACGAAGGGUGCAAGCGUUACUCGGAAUUACUGGGCGUAAAGCGUGCGUAGGUGGUGGUUUAAGUCCGUUGUGAAAGCCCUGGGCUCAACCUGGGAAUUGCAGUGGAUACUGGGUCACUAGAGUGUGGUAGAGGAUAGUGGAAUUUCCGGUGUAGCAGUGAAAUGCGUAGAGAUCGGAAGGAACAUCUGUGGCGAAGGCGACUAUCUGGGCCAACACUGACACUGAGGCACGAAAGCGUGGGGAGCAAACAGGAUUAGAUACCCCAGUAGUCCCUGUCUCUUAUAC
rnacentral:rRNA from 1 species